rnacentral:rRNA from 1 species
GGCUCAGAUUGAACGCUGGCGGCAUGGUUAAAGCAUGCAAGUCGAACGCGAACCACCUUCGGGUGGGGAAAGUGGCGAAAGGGCGAGUAAUGCGAUCGAAUGUGCCCCGAGGUGGGGGAUAGCGUCGGGAAAUCGGCGGUAAUACCCCAUGUCCUCUACGGAGAAAAGAUUUAUCGCCUUGGGAGCAGCGAUCGUCCUAUCAGGUAGUUGGUGAGGUAACGGCUCACCAAGCCGAAGACGGGUAGCGGGUGUGAGAGCAUGACCCGCCGCAUCGGAACUGAGACACUGUCCGGACUCCUACGGGAGGCUGCAGCGACGAAUAUUCCGCAAUGGGCGAAAGCCUGACGGAGCAAUGCCGCGUGUGGGAUGAAGCAUCUUCGAUGUGUAAACCACUGUCAGAUUCUAGGAACACUGACCGGAAUCAGAGGAAGGGCCGGCUAACCUCGUGCCAGCAGCCGCGGUAAUACGAGGGGCCCGAGCGUUAAUCGGAAUCACUGGGCUUAAAGGGUGCGCAGGCGGACUUGUAAGCAUCUUGUGAAAUCCCCCGGCUCAACCGGGGAACUGCAGGGUGAACUGCAAGUCUUGAGACAGGUAGGGGCAGAUGGAACUGUCGGUGGAGCGGUGAAAUGCUUAGAUAUCGACAGGAACGCCAAUGGCGAAGGCAAUCUGCUGGGCCUGUUCUGACGCUCAGGCACGAAAGCGUGGGGAGCAAACAGGAUUAGAUACCCUGGUAGUCCACGCCGUAAACGAUGUGCACUAGAUCGAGGUGGCUCUCACGCCUUCUCGGUCGAAGGAAAACCAUUAAGUGCACCGCCUGGGGAGUACGGUCGCAAGGCUAAAACUCAAAUGNA